CUUGCUUGGUGGAUCAGUGGCGAACGGGUGAGUAACACGUGAGCAACCUGCCCUGGACUCUGGGAUAAGCGCUGGAAACGGCGUCUAAUACUGGAUAUGAGACGUGAUCGCAUGGUCGUGUUUGGAAAGAUUUUUCGGUCUGGGAUGGGCUCGCGGCCUAUCAGCUUGUUGGUGAGGUAAUGGCUCACCAAGGCGUCGACGGGUAGCCGGCCUGAGAGGGUGACCGGCCACACUGGGACUGAGACACGGCCCAGACUCCUACGGGAGGCAGCAGUGGGGAAUAUUGCACAAUGGGCGGAAGCCUGAUGCAGCAACGCCGCGUGAGGGAUGACGGCCUUCGGGUUGUAAACCUCUUUUAGCAGGGAAGAAGCGAAAGUGACGGUACCUGCAGAAAAAGCGCCGGCUAACUACGUGCCAGCAGCCGCGGUAAUACGUAGGGCGCAAGCGUUAUCCGGAAUUAUUGGGCGUAAAGAGCUCGUAGGCGGUUUGUCGCGUCUGCUGUGAAAUCCCGAGGCUCAACCUCGGGCCUGCAGUGGGUACGGGCAGACUAGAGUGCGGUAGGGGAGAUUGGAAUUCCUGGUGUAGCGGUGGAAUGCGCAGAUAUCAGGAGGAACACCGAUGGCGAAGGCAGAUCUCUGGGCCGUAACUGACGCUGAGGAGCGAAAGGGUGGGGAGCAAACAGGCUUAGAUACCCUGGUAGUCCACCCCGUAAACGUUGGGAACUAGUUGUGGGGGCCAUUCCACGGUUUCCGUGACGCAGCUAACGCAUUAAGUUCCCCGCCUGGGGAGUACGGCCGCAAGGCUAAAACUCAAAGGAAUUGACGGGGACCCGCACAAGCGGCGGAGCAUGCGGAUUAAUUCGAUGCAACGCGAAGAACCUUACCAAGGCUUGACAUACACCAGAACGGGCCAGAAAUGGUCAACUCUUUGGACACUGGUGAACAGGUGGUGCAUGGUUGUCGUCAGCUCGUGUCGUGAGAUGUUGGGUUAAGUCCCGCAACGAGCGCAACCCUCGUUCUAUGUUGCCAGCACGUAAUGGUGGGAACUCAUGGGAUACUGCCGGGGUCAACUCGGAGGAAGGUGGGGAUGACGUCAAAUCAUCAUGCCCCUUAUGUCUUGGGCUUCACGCAUGCUACAAUGGCCGGUACAAAGGGCUGCAAUACCGUGAGGUGGAGCGAAUCCCAAAAAGCCGGUCCCAGUUCGGAUUGAGGU
rnacentral:rRNA from 1 species